UACGAAGGGGGCUAGCGUUGUUCGGAAUCACUGGGCGUAAAGGGCGCGUAGGCGGCCGAUCAAGUCGGGGGUGAAAGCCUGUGGCUCAACCACAGAAUUGCCUCGAUACUGGUUGGCUUGAGACCGGAAGAGGUAAGUGGAACUGCGAGUGUAGAGGUGAAAUUCGUAGAUAUUCGCAAGAACACCAGUGGCGAAGGCGGCUUACUGGUCCGGUUCUGACGCUGAGGCGCGAAAGCGUGGGGAGCAAACAGG
rnacentral:rRNA from 1 species